UCUCUGGUAGUAUAUCGGUUAGUACACGCGCCUGUCAUGACGUCUAUUGAGAUAUUCGUGCGCGCGAAAGCUGGGUUCGACUCCCAGCCAGAGAG